AGAGAGUGCAAGCGUUAAUCAGAAUUACUGGGCGUAAAGCGCACGUAGGUGGAUAUUUAAGUCGGAUGUGAAAGCCCUGGGCUCAACCUAGGAACUGCAUUCGAUACUGGGUAUCUAGAGUAUGGUAGAGGGAAGUGGAAUUUCCGGUGUAGCGGUGAAAUGCGUAGAUAUCGGAAGGAACAUCAGUGGCGAAGGCGACUUCCUGGACCAAUACUGACACUCAGGUGCGAAAGCGUGGGGGGAGCAAACAGGAUUAGAGACCCUGGUAGUCCACGCCGUCAACGAUGAGAACUAGACGUUGGGGCUUUUAAGUCUUAGUGUCGAAGCUAACGCGCUAAGUUCUCCGCCUGGGAGUACGAUGCAAGAUUA
rnacentral:rRNA from 1 species